GACGAACGCUGGCGGCGUGCUUAACACAUGCAAGUCGAGCGGAAAGGCCCUUCGGGGUACUCGAGCGGCGAACGGGUGAGUAACACGUGAGCAACCUGCCCCUGACUCUGGGAUAAGCCCGGGAAACUGGGUCUAAUACCGGAUAUGACCGCCCCUGGCAUCGGGUGGUGGUGGAAAGUUUUUUCGGUUGGGGAUGGGCUCGCGGCCUAUCAGCUUGUUGGUGGGGUAGUGGCCUACCAAGGCGACGACGGGUAGCCGGCCUGAGAGGGCAACCGGCCACACUGGGACUGAGACACGGCCCAGACUCCUACGGGAGGCAGCAGUGGGGAAUAUUGCGCAAUGGGCGGAAGCCUGACGCAGCGACGCCGCGUGGGGGAUGACGGCCUUCGGGUUGUAAACCUCUUUCAGCAGGGACGAAGUUGACGUGUACCUGCAGAAGAAGCGCCGGCUAACUACGUGC
rnacentral:rRNA from 1 species